ensembl:snoRNA
ACUCUCUGUGGUAGUUCAGAAGCAUGACGACUGGGUUUUCACGUUCCUCUGUAGGACGAGCCUCCCUCAGACCUUGUUACGAUGUCAGCACAUUACCCGUGUGACG